GGUCGUUGACGAAAAAUGGGGAGUGAUUUUCUUCACUGGAUAUCUAUAAUUAGACAAGUAAAUUCCUUCGCAUCGCUUAGUACAUGACAUGAUACAAAAGUACACACAUGUACCGCUGAAGGCUUUUGCUAUGAAGCCCAGUUUCGACUUGUCAAUGUACGACUUCAGAGGUGAGAAGACAGCCGAAUCCUUGAACGCGCAACAGACUUAUCAGCGACCUCUGUCGGUCCCAUUGCACGAGUCAAAGGGCAAAACUCUUACUGGUUGAGUGCUGUCCAGAUUUGAAACAAGGGCCUGGUAGUGGGCAAUUCUUAGAUGUGUAGAGUUUUGUAGAAAUCGACAUGAAGAACUAGUACACAUGCAGUUUUAGCAUUGUCAUCGAAGGAUCGAAGGAUUCGUGGAUGACAUGGAGGGUUCCGCACCGGAGUCUGAAACAGGAUGAGGAGUAAUGGGUGAAGAGGAAUGGUCUAAAUGAAGGCACAGUUACCCAUUAAUAGUCUCCAAAAUGACGGUGUUCACACACUAUUAGAAGAGGAAGCUAGAAAUCGUGCGCUGUAUCAGGCUUGACAGUAGGCCUCAGACAACGAUAGCAUCUCCGCUGGACUGGGAAACCCAACCGCUAACGACCCUGCACGACUUCCAAAGUAGGUGAACAAACCGACAACCAUAACAGAAAAGUAAGUUUUCCCAGUGUCGGUAAAAGUUAAUCUUUUUAUUAGUUGAUUUUAAAUGUAUUUUUUUUACAUAAAACUUGGCUUGACUGCAACUUC
rnacentral:lncRNA from 1 species